AGACAUCUCCGGGCAGCCGCUUUUCGAUACAAUCGGAAGGAGGAAAGUCCGAACACCAACGAACACCGUGCUUCCUAACAGGAAGGGGUUCCGGUUUCAAGACCGGAAAGACAGCCAGUGCCACAGAAAACAGACUUCCCGUGCCGCAGGCGUGGGUAAAGGUGAAAAGGUGAGGUAAGAGCUCACCGGCCCUGCAGUGAUGCCGGGCGCAUGGCAAACCUCACGGGGUGCAAGUUCACGCAGAUUGUGUGCCGUUCGUCACAAUACAAUCGGGUGGAACGCUACGAUCCUGCCAGUGAUGUCAGGGCCAGAUAAAUGGCUGCCAUCCCGAAAUAUCGGUAUACAGAAUUCGGCUUAUAGGAGAUGUCUAUUC
rnacentral:RNase_P_RNA from 1 species